GCUUCUAUGGAGGGGUGCUGAGUGUUGGAAUGAGUGUUUAAAGCUUUUAGGCGUUGCUGAAGCAGCAAAAGCAUCAAUGGAUUCUGACCAGUUAAGCUCUGGAAUUUCAGAUUUUGAUACUCACUUUCAAGGCCUCAUAGUUCAGAAAAGUGAUGAUGACGACUCUGAGAAUGAGUCAGCACUUGAAAUUCAUCCAUACUUGAUGGAAGAAAAAUUGUCGAAGCACUUGAUAAUCACUUGACUGCUAUCCAAAGGGACCAUGAACUCAGGUCCCAGAUAGAAGAAAGGAAAAUAAGAAGUGAUGCGGCUUAUGAAGGGGCCAAAAGAAAAGAGAAAGCUCUCCUGGAAGAAAAACUCCGCCAAGAAAAAGCCAAAGCAGAAGCUGAGGUUUGUUGACUUUGCCCAGAUUAUUCAUUUCUUUUGGUAGAUGUCUAAAGAUGGUUGUCACAGUCCUCUAUUAUUCUCACAUAUUCUUCUGAUAU